rnacentral:rRNA from 1 species
UGUGAACUCGAAGAGUAGGGCGGGACACGUGGUAUCCUGUCUGAAUAUGGGGGGACCAUCCUCCAAGGCUAAAUACUCCUGACUGACCGAUAGUGAACCAGUACCGUGAGGGAAAGGCGAAAAGAACCCCGGCGAGGGGAGUGAAAAAGAACCUGAAACCGUGUACGUACAAGCAGUGGGAGCACCUUCGGGUGUGACUGCGUACCUUUUGUAUAAUGGGUCAGCGACUUAUAUUCUGUAGCAAGGUUAACCGUAUAGGGGAGCCGCAGGGAAACCGAGUCUUAACUGGGCGUUAAGUUGCAGGGUAUAGACCCGAAACCCGGUGAUCUAGCCAUGGGCAGGUUGAAGGUUGGGUAACACUAACUGGAGGACCGAACCGACUAAUGUUGAAAAAUUAGCGGAUGACUUGUGGCUGGGGGUGAAAGGCCAAUCAAACCGGGAGAUAGCUGGUUCUCCCCGAAAGCUAUUUAGGUAGCGCCUCGUGAACUCAUCUUCGGGGGUAGAGCACUGUUUCGGCUAGGGGGUCAUCCCGACUUACCAACCCGAUGCAAACUACGAAUACCGAAGAAUGUUAUCACGGGAGACACACGGCGGGUGCUAACGUCCGUCGUGAAGAGGGAAACAACCCAGACCGCCAGCUAAGGUCCCAAAGUCAUGGUUAAGUGGGAAACGAUGUGGGAAGGCACAGACAGCCAGGAUGUUGGCUUAGAAGCAGCCAUCAUUUAAAGAAAGCGUAAUAGCUCACUGGUCGAGUCGGCCUGCGCGGAAGAUGUAACGGGGCUAAACCAUGCACCGAAGCUGCGGCAGCGACACUAUGUGUUGUUGGGUAGGGGAGCGUUCUGUAAGCCUGCGAAGGUGUGCUGUGAGGCAUGCUGGAGGUAUCAGAAGUGCGAAUGCUGACAUAAGUAACGAUAAAGCGGGUGAAAAGCCCGCUCGCCGGAAGACCAAGGGUUCCUGUCCAACGUUAAUCGGGGCAGGGUGAGUCGACCCCUAAGGCGAGGCCGAAAGGCGUAGUCGAUGGGAAACAGGUUAAUAUUCCUGUACUUGGUGUUACUGCGAAGGGGGGACGGAGAAGGCUAUGUUAGCCGGGCGACGGUUGUCCCGGUUUAAGCAUGUAGGCUGGUUAUCCAGGCAAAUCCGGAUAAUCAAGGCUGAGGUGUGAUGACGAGGCACUACGGUGCUGAAGUAACAAAUGCCCUGCUUCCAGGAAAAGCCUCUAAGCAUCAGGUAACAUCAAAUCG